AGUAAAGUAGUUCAAAGGUAGAACAACGGUCUCCAAAACCGUCGAUAGGGGUUCAACUCCCCUCUUUGGUG